rnacentral:lncRNA from 1 species
AUGAGAUGUCGACCCGGAGGUCGAAAAAAUUUCGAAACUAGGGGUCAACCAGGGAUUGAUCCAGUGGUCGGUGAGCAUUCGAGUAGGUGGGGUCAUUUCGCCUUAAGCUUUCUUUGACAGAUCUGAUAGUUUCUGUCCUCGUCAGUCUGAAAUUUCUGAGGGUGAGUCCCAAAAUCCAUGGCUGAGGUUGCACGACCCCACAACAAGAGGUAAUAAUAUUUAUGAUCGCAAGC